rnacentral:rRNA from 1 species
UACAGAGGGGGCAAGCGUUGUUCGGAAUUACUGGGCGUAAAGGGCGCGUAGGCGGCCUUCUAAGUCGAACGUGAAAUCCCCGGGCUCAACCCGGGAACUGCGUCCGAUACUGGAAGGCUUGAAUCCGGGAGAGGGAUGCGGAAUUCCAGGUGUAGCGGUGAAAUGCGUAGAUAUCUGGAGGAACACCGGUGGCGAAGGCGGCAUCCUGGACCGGUAUUGACGCUGAGGCGCGAAAGCCAGGGGAGCAA